GUGUGUGUCAGGUGGAGCUGGGCGUCGAGACUCGUUAAGAGGGGUAACACACUAACCCCUGUGUCUCCGCAGGGGCAGCUGCGGGGGCUGCAGCCAGGCCACUGAAACAGGGUGAGUAGAGUCCCACCCCUCGCCGAGCUCCGCACAGCGAAGCACAAUCCUCGCGUGACUUGUCGCGUGUGUUUCAGGUUACGGCGUCCAGCCAGGCUAUGGAGCAGGAGCGGCACUCGGGCUACCUCAGGCCAGGAAACAGAAAGCAGGUUAUGGCGGCAAUGGAUAUGCUUAUGGGGCUCAGCCACUCGGAGGAUACGGACCUGGGGCAGGAGCCUAUCUGGGGGCGGGGCUUGGGGCAGGGUUUGGGAAUGGAGCAGCUGGGUUCGCUGGGCUGGGCGAUGGAGGUAAGACUGAGCACAGAGAUUCGGACACACUGAUAUUGUACUUGUAAGAUAUACCCUAAUUAUACAGUACCUGUCUCCUCUCUCUCUCUCCUCUCCCCC
rnacentral:lncRNA from 1 species